rnacentral:rRNA from 1 species
CCUACGGGAGGCAGCAGUCGAGAAUCAUUCACAAUGGGGGAAACUCUGAUGGUGCGACGCCGCGUGGGGGAAUGAAGGUCUUCGGAUUGUAAACUGCUGUCAUGCGGGAGCAAAUUAAAAUGAUCGUACCACACUAGGAAGAGACGGCUAACUAUGUGCUAGCAGCCGCGGUAAUACAGAGGUCUCAAGCGUUGUUCGGAAUCACUGGGCGUAAAGCGUGCGUAGGCUGUUUGGUAAGUCGUGUGUGAAAGGCGCGGGCUCAACCCGGGGACGGCACAUGAUACUGCGAGGCUAGAGUGAUGGAGGGGUAACCGGAAUGCUCGGUGUAGCGGUGAAAUGCGUAGAGAUCG